GUGCUCACUUCAGCAGUACACAAUAAAAUGGGAAUGGUACAGAGAAGAUUAGCAUGGCCCCUGCACAAGGAUGACAUGCAAAUUCAUGAAUUAGACCCUAUUUUU
rnacentral:snRNA from 1 species